GUUUUCCCACAGGGCCAAAAAAUGGGAAAGAACACUGAAAUGUCAUUCAUUUUUGUAAGGUGUAGGCAUAAUUUUUGCUGAUUCCUUAUUUAACCAUAAUAGUUGUUAACACAUCAAAAGGUCUUUUCCUUAGUGGAAGUAGUUUCCUUCAUGUGUGAGAAUGCACACAAAUCCUCUUCUCAGUCACUUGGAAGCUUUGGAGUACUCUUGCCACAGUGUUUUUUGCCCAGCUAGCUCAUUGGUUGACUAAGAAGUUAGAGCUUGAAGAGAAUGGAAUUUAAGUUUAUCCCUGGAAAUACUGUAUUGACCACUAUUUAUAGCUGAGCUUCGGACUUUACCUAACAUGCACCAUUUUCUGGGUUUGAUCCCCAGCACCACAGAAACAAAACAUCAUCUAAGAAUGGUAUAUUUGUAGGGAAGUGACAGGACAAAGGAAAAGGAGUAAAAGUUGCUAAGGAUGAUAAAUUGUGGGAAAAUAAAUUAGAAAAAUAAUUUGAAUAGGUUUGUUUGCACAAACCCAAUUCAGCAUCAACUUCCAGUGUCUAGUGAAAAAAAAAUAUUAUUCUGUUCCUGGUACAGGAAGGCAUCUUUCUCCUGGGAAAUUUUUAUGACCAGCUUUUAGGGAGGUCUCAGAGUCCUUUCUACAUCUGCUAUUUCUUAAGUGCCAUCAGCUCAAAACAAUCAAUAUGCCACAGCAGUAUAUUCUGUGAAAUGUUCGAAAUUCCUCAAUCUAAUAAAUUUCUGCCAAAAUUCUAGAAAGAAAAGAAAAUCAUAUUUAAUGUGAGACAUUAAAGGGAUGCCUUUUGAAGCAAGCUGAUGUGAAAGUUCAUGUGAAAACAUCUGCUUUUCACAACCAUACUAGAAAUCAGAACCAUGUACUGAGACACACAACAGGAAGAAGUAUUGCAGAAAAAGAAACUAUUGCAGGUAGAACAAUUUAGUAAAAAAUCCAAGGGAAUAAGAGGAGCUGUUAAGACAUCUCAGCAGGUUUACCAUAUAUCAUAAUUAAACUAAAGUUAGUGGAGACAAAAAAAAAUUAUAAACUCAGUAAAAAAUAAUAUAUAGUACCCAGAAAUAAAGCUGUCACCUCUAGGGAGAA
rnacentral:lncRNA from 1 species